AUAAAAGAAAAGCACAAACUGGAGGGUAGUGCAGAAGGAGCCCUGCCCACCUGUGCCCAGAUGUGAGAACCCUAUUUCAGUUUGACUUCUGCCCAAACAGCUGGUCCAUUGGAGGAGCCUCAGUUUCCUUUGCUGUCUUCCUUCAGUGGGCUUUUUACAGGAUUAAAUAUAUUGUGUGCGUUAUUUCUCAUGGAAGCAAAAUGUAUUCAUUAUGGUAAAACAAAAACUACAAUUAGGCAAAAUAAAGCCAUUUCCUGACAUAGUUAAACUCAGGCAAAAGAGUUGAAAUGAACAGGAUGGAUCAUUUUCUGCAAACAGGACCUCAUUGAAAUGUUACCCCACACCACCUCAGGAAGGGAGGGAAUCAUUAUGGCAGAUUCAAAAAAGAGGAAACAGGCACAGAGAAGAUAAAGACUGUGCCCAAGUUCACUCUGACUGUAAGUCAGCUAAGCUUGGAGUCCUUGCAUGGCUAAAGCACACAAUUCAUUUCUUACUACACAUUCUUUCUGAACUCAGACUAAAGGGCCCAGAUUGAGGCAAGUUCUUCCCUAUUUAACCUGCAGAAUCCUUCCCUGGUGCCAAAGGUCUUCCAUCCUGGGAGGUGUGAGUGAGUCACAGGGGAGGGGCAAGAAUGAGCCUGUGUUCUCAGGAGUGCUAUUAGCAAAGUGAGUCACCGUGGUUCUGUAUCAGCCUCUGCAGCGGGGCCUCACCUUCGCAUGGCCCCCGCCCCACCCCAGGCCCUGCCUGGCUAUCUGAGAGAAGGUCCUCCCUCUUCUUCAGAACCCACUGAGGUUGUCAGUGACCUCAGCUCCCAAAGGGUGCGUCACAAAUCCUUGUGGCAGGACUCCCCUUUGCACCGCAGUCUGCACAGCACUUCCCUAUGAAGUACAUCACUGGAUAUUGCUUUCCUCCACCUCCUUUAAGAGCUGAAGAAACAAGAGGCCCCGAAAGGUUAAAUCGAGUUUCCAAGGCUGCCCGGAAAUUUGGCGACCAUGGAGACCCUAGUGUGAGUUUUCCGACUCCCAAGAGGAUGGCUUUUGCAAAAUACCUAUGAAUGCCUGUGUGCUCAUAGGGAUGGUAUGCUUGAGGCUUGGAGUGUUGGGUAGGAAUGGAGGAAGGAAGGACCAAGCACCAGGAACAUGGGGUGGGCACAGCUGAUGGUGGGAGUGGUCUAGUAUAAAAUGGUCAGUGGGUAUAAAUUCAAUAAUUGGUCUUAACUAAGGAUAUUUUCAUGGAGGUGGACCACGGGAAAGGGGUUGGAGUCCUACUGGCUAUGUCUGUCUGGAAGGUACAAGGAUUCAGAGCCGUGGCUGCAGACCUAACCCAGGCGCUUAGAUCUCAUCUGAACACUGUCCAAUUCAGAGGAUGCCCUGCACUUGACCUGUGCCUGCCAAAUGUCAUGACUCAGAAACCUGGUCCCUUCCCAAACACACCUAAUACCAAUUUUAUUAACAAAGAGAGAGAUGCCAACUGGACAGAGUGAGGUUCCUGUCCGAACCGGUCAGGCCCAGGGCAACCCAAGGCCUCCAGGUGGGGUCCUUUGGGAGAGGUGGCUGAGAGCAGCUGAAUGGAGCCUCAGCUAUUAUACAUAGACUAUUCACAGCACUUGAAGCUUCUGAGUCAAGACAGAGCCUGCCCACUCUCUCUCCAGGAUUCAGAUAGAGCUGAAAUCCUGUUAAGUUGUUAUCAGCUCACAGCCUGAACAUUUCCUCAUUCAGCAAAAAUGAUGCUGCGCCUCUGAGUGCAGGGUGCUUGCUCCGUCUGUCCCAGGAGACUAAAGGGAGGAGUAAGAAGAGGAGGCCAAUGCCCAGGGUGCCUACUGCUUACAGAGGAAUCAGGAAUCACAACCAAGAGUUCAAACUUUCAUUAAAAUUGUAUUUUUCUUUGGAGCCUCCACCCUGCACUUAAUGUGUUAUUAAGCCCUUAAAAAAAUAAAGGAAAAUUCAGCAACAAGAAUUAAUACUUAUUAACUCUCUUGGGUUUAAAUUAAACACACACACACACACACACACACACACACACACACUCGUGCGUGCGUGCAUGCAUGUGAAUCAUGAAGGUAGGGGAAAUGACAUUGUGAACUGGCCAAUACUUUCUCAUUUAAUUUAGGAGUAAUUAGUCCCAUUACAGAGAGGAGAAAGUGAGGUAAAAUAAAUGGACCUCCCUUGCUGCUUUCAAAGAAAGACAGGGCUGCUACUCGUGAUAGAGGAAUAGUUAUCCCAGAGAUGGGAAAUGGCAGCCUUCAGGAUCAUAAGCAGCAGGUGAGAAAUGGCAGCUAUGUCACUUUUAAUGCCAUUAUUUAGGAGUAGUGACAGAUGAACAAUCUUCCCAAAGGUUGCCUGGCAGAGCUAUGACCCAGAACAAUUAGAACUGAUGACCCACAGGGACCCUGCUAUUUCUAUGCAGAAGCUUCUUGAAAGAUAUGCUAGUGAGUCAGAGAGUGGAUGGUGGUGGAUGGAACCAGAGCAGGACAUUCUAUACAAGGACAGCUAGAGGAAUCAGGACAGUGGUGAUGAGAAAGUGGAAGGAGCUGGGGGACAUGCAAGCAAGAGACCUGUCUACCUGACAUGCAAAUAGGUUAAACGCACUGAGAACUCACUAUCCAUCAGACAUUUGUGGCCUUGACAUCUGCUUUCCAAAUGAUGGUAGCUUACUUAGCAAGCACCCGAGCGUUCUGUCUCCUGUGCAGGUGUGUCUGUCACAUAAAAAUAACUAUCAUUUAUUGCACACCAGCUAUGUGCUUGGUAUUUUAAAUAUAUUGCUCCUAAUCCUCAUGACAGCUCUAAAUAGGAAAUGGCAUGGUACUAAUUUUAGAGGCAGAAACUCAAACUAUGAGAUUAAAGGUUUUGCCCAUGAUGGUGGAGCCACUGAUAGUUAGAACUAGAAUUUAGUCUCCAGCAUCCUUUUCCUGCUGCAAUAAAGUCUACACAGUUGUAGAUAAGGGGAAUAAGAAGUUUUGCAUGAGCCUCUAUCUGCCUAUGAGGUAAAAGCCUUUAAGGGAAAUGAUGGACAUCCAGGAUGUGGGGAUACACAGAAAGGUUUAUACCAGAUCACAACAUCUUCAAGCAAAAGAAUGGCUGGGACAGGCUAUAACUGGUGCCUGACAAAACAUGUUCCUUACUGGAAGAAGUUCAUGGGCUUGAGCUAGGGAGCAAAGCAACACAUCCCUUCAAAUAGUCAACAACAGGACCAAGCUACAGAUACUCUGGUUGAUUUGCUUUACUGAAGUUUUUGAUGUAAGAAACGGUCUUGGUUCCUCAUUCUCAUAUCAAGAUCCAUUUCCCCCCAAUUUCCCAGUUAGGUAACUUGAGAGAAAAAGUAGUUAAGCCAAGAGACCUGGGGGUGAAUCUUGACUCUACUGAUUUAUUACAGACCAUGUAGGCUUAAGGUUCACAUUCUCAGAAUUUCACAAUUUUCUUGUCAUCUUAAUGGGCUGGUAUUCACUUAACUGUGUUUGGGGGGACAUUAAAUACAUUCCAGAAGGUAGACUAUAGGUUCAUUGGGUAUGUGGCUUAGUGCCUAAGAGUGUUUCGGUCUUUGGCAGACAAACCCAAACUGGUUUUAAACCAGAGAGCAGGUACCUAUUACCUUUGUUUCUCCAUCCACUUCCACUAUGGAACUGCAGCCAUCACUAGGAAUGACCCAUCCAGAUCCCAUUUACCAGGGAAGUAUUCCCACCCCACAACCAGGAGAGUUUGCAGCUAACAGCUCACCCUGUACUGUUUUCUGGGGAAUUUCCUUUAGUCAGCAGAAGUUGCCUUACCAGGAGGUACCUUAGAAGUUAGGUCCACCAUGUUCUCCAUUUUCCUUGGGGUUUCCUGUGACUAAUGAUUGAUGUGAGAAGAAAGGUUGGGCUGUGGGAUAGCAGCCCAGCAUCCUAGUCUCUGGGCAAGACAAUCUCUAUUAUACAUCAACCCAUGUUCCAGAUUUCCUUAUGGAUCAGGCUGAGGCCUGAACUCUCCUUUAUCCUGUCUCCCUAUUCCCUUGCCCAUAUCUUCUGUAAUCUCCUUCCCAGCAAAUGACUUGCCAAAGAAUAUAGAAUUCUGCAUCUCAGGUUUUGCUUCUAGAGCAUCUGAUCUAAGAUAGUCAACUUGCAAAAGUGUCUUAUUCUCCCUGAAUUUCAGAGAUGAGAACUCUGAAUUUACUUCCUAAUACUUUCUACAUUGCAUUUUUUGUUGUCUAAUUACUGUCUACCUCCCCACCAGACAGUUUGCUCUCCAGGUAGAAACCAGUGCUUCACAGUUCUUUACCUGCAGAAGACACCAGUUGAUAGUGUUGAUUGAAGUAAUAUUCCUUAUUUAUCAGUGAUUUUGCUGCAGUAGGAAAAAUGACAAAGGCUAUGUAGAUUUGGUUUCCAGUUAGGUGUGGCUGUGUAAGAAACCAUCCCAAAAUUUGGUGAUUUAAUGUAACAAUCUAGUAACUUUCAUAGUUUUCUAUGCGGAGCUUAGCACAGCUGGGAAGCUCUUGUUUGGCUGCUCACCUGGUUGUAGCCAAAUGAUGGCUAGUACUGAAGUUGUCUGAAGGUUGGGGAUCCAAGAUGGCUCCUCUGAUUACAUGUCUGAUGCCUCAGGUAGGGUGACUGAAACACCUGGGGGCUGUUUGGCAUCAUUCUCUCUUUUUCUCUCCAUGUGGCCACUUGGGCUUCCUCCCAGCAUGGCAGACUUGGUGUCAUUAGUGGGACUUAGGAUAUGGCAGCUGGCUUUCUCCAGGGUGAAUGCCCCUAAAGACCAAAGCAGAAGUUGCAAGUGAUGCAAAGUGAGACUAUUGCCACAUUUUAUUGUUUCAGUGAAACAAUUGAAUCUGCCAGCCCAGAUUCAGUGCAGGAAAGGACCACAUGAGGAGCUGAACCACCACAAUGUGGAAGACUGGUUCACUGUUGGGCCCUCUUUAGAGACGAGGUGAUUGUUCCUUUACAAAUAAAAUGGACAGAACACCUGCUGAAUGGACCUUUGAUCAUACUUAAAAAGGACAUUAAUACUGGUGUACGCUCUCAUGAGUCCAUUAUACUAAUACAAGCUGUCAUUAUUAUAAGUCCUUGGGCCUGCUAUGUAAUUUCAACUAUUUUGACCUAAGGCAUUUGACUAUAUUCAGUCCAAUAAUUUGAUAACAUGUGUCAGUAAGUAAUUUUGCCAACACCUCUUGUCCCAAUUGUAGAAUACAGCCACAGACAAUGUGAUGCUUUCCCUGUAUUUUGUUUUAGCCCAACCAAACCGUCUGAGAAAAAGGUGCACUUGGAACAAAGUGUAAACUGAGGUCAGCUUGGCAGACUUUGUCUUGUGCAGGCACAAACCCUGGCAGACCUACAAACCUCUUAGAUAAUUUGUCAAACAUGAAAGAGUGUCGCUGAGACUUUUCACACUGCAUGAUAAAAGCUAAAUACAGCGCUCAAAAAAGGAAGCAUGGCAAAUUCUAUUUCCAUUUCCCAUAAUUUGGAAGUUCUAUCUUUAGUAGCAAUUUACAUUUUCCACACAAUUAAAGACUGUACCUAUUCUAAUUUACACUUCAAGUAUCCAAUUCAGCUGUGAUUUGCAUUUUUUCUCUAUUUAUCUGUUUAUCUGCUUCCCAGUGAGAAAGCUGGGCUUUGAAUCUUGACAUUAUCAGUUAAAACGUGGGUAACACUGGACACACUUGAUUAACCAUUUCAGAGAGUCAGUUGGCUCAUAUAUUAAAUGGAAAUAAGACAAUAUUUAAGGAGUUAUUGUGCAUCAUAAAGGCUCUGAGCACAGCCAGGCACAAAGUCCUGCAAUACUAGUACAUGUGCACUCAUUGUCUUUUAAUGCACUUUCUGUGGACACAUCUGGAGGGUCUGUGAAUAGGAAUUCACUAUAGGUAUUAUAACAGUUCUUCAGCUAUCACUGUCUAUUGUAAAUGUCAAGGUCAACACAUUCAAAAUCAAUUAGAUUUGUUUUUUGUUUUUUGUGUGUACCUCUAAACAAACUUUCAUAUAAAUCCAAGCCACCAACAAACACAAUUUUUCAGAUAAUUGUCUGGUGAUAAAGAUCUUUAUGUUUUUCUGAAAUAUUCAAAUGAAGAAGAA